rnacentral:lncRNA from 1 species
CGAGUGUGGAAAAUGUUCUCCGUUGCAACUCCAAGUCAUCCGCUUUGACGUGAGUAGUGAGAGCUCGCUUUGUGACUAGUAGAUCCCCAACCGGUCCUUCAAAUUUUUCUUCUUCAUUAACACCCGUUCCCAAACACCUAAAACAUUUGAUGUCCCAAUUGCGCGACGGUUGUGCCUCCGGUUUUGAUAUUGAUUUGCUAGCGUUUUCAUCUUUGCCCUUUUGCCAAUCAUUUUUACCUCUAGGUGUAGCCCCGUUUUUAUUGUUAUCAUCCCACUUCGAUUUCCAUGUUAGAUUAGGAGUCGAAGUACCUAACGGUUGCCUAGAUGUCCCCUUCCUCUUCAAUUGCCUCUCGACCUUCAUUGCCACAUGUAACAUGUCCUCGAUUUCCACAUAAUGUUGCAACUCUACAAUGUUUGCAAUAUCCCGAUUUAACCCAUUCAAGAACCGUGCCAUGGUAGCUUCCCGAUCUUCCUCCACAUUAGCCCGAAUCGUAAAAAUUUCCAUCUCCUUGUGAUAAUCCUCUACGCUUUUCGAUCCUUGGUACAAACCCUAUAAUUUUUGAUGGAUUUCCCUAUAAUAGUGACUCGGAACAAACCUCAUCCUCAUCAACAUCUUCAACUCAUCCCAAGUGCUAAUUGGCCUUUCUCGACCCCUACGCCGUGAUGUCAGUACUUGAUCCCACCAAGAUAUCGCGUAAUCCACAAAUUCAAGCACCGCCAAUUUUAUCUUUUUCUCCUCCGAAUAAUUAUAGCACUCGAAAAUCAUCUCAACCUUCCUUUCCCAAUCUAAAUAUGCUUCCGGAUCGCUUUUCCCCUUAAAUUGCGGAAUAGUCAUUUUAAUACUUCCCAAAUUUCCAUCUACUUCAUCUCCCAAGUUAUUUCUACCCCGUCUUUCCAUCCUAUCGCCCCUAUGCCUCGCUCGACCCAUAUCAAUGUCAUUUUCAUCAAAAUCAUCCACAUCACUAUGAUACUCAUCCCGCCUUCCUCUCCUAGAUUAACGCCUACCCGGCCCCCUAGCAUUAGACAUCUCCACUUGUCCCCGGCUAAGAUUAGCAAUU